AUAGGCAGUGGAAACUGGUCGGCUAGAGUUCGGUAGGGGUAGCGGGAAAUUCCCAGUGUAGCGGUGAAAUGCGUAGAUAUUGGGAAGAACACCAGCGGCGAAAGCGCGCUACUGGGCCGAGACUGACACUGAGGGACGAAAGCUAGGGGAGCGAAAGGGAUUAGAUACCCCUGUAGUCCUAGCUGUAAACGAUGGGUACUAGGUGUUGCGCGUAUCGACCCGUGCAGUGCCGUAGCUAACGCGUUAAGUACCCCGCCUGGGGAGUACGCACGCAAGUGUGAAACUCAAAGGAAUUGACGGGGGCCCGCACAAGCGGUGGAGUAUGUGGUUUAAUUUGAUGCAACGCGAAGAACCUUACCAGGGCUUGACAUCCCGCGAACCUUGAUGAAAGUCGAGGGUGCCUUCGGGAGCGCGGAGACAGGUGGUGCAUGGCUGUUGUCAGCUUGUGUCGUGAGAUGUUGGGUUAAGUCCCGCAACGAGCGCAACCCAU
rnacentral:rRNA from 1 species